AGAGUUUGAUCCUGGCUCAGAUUGAACGCUGGCGGAAUGCUUUACACAUGCAAGUCGAACGGCAGCACGGGUGCUUGCACCUGGUGGCGAGUGGCGAACGGGUGAGUAAUGCGUCGGAACGUACCGAGUAAUGGGGGAUAACGCAGCGAAAGUUGUGCUAAUACCGCAUACGCCCUCCGGGGGAAAGCAGGGGAUCUUCGGACCUUGCGUUAUUCGAGCGGCCGACGUCCGAUUAGCUAGUUGGUGGGGUAAAGGCCUACCAAGGCGACGAUCAGUAGCGGGUCUGAGAGGAUGAUCCGCCACACUGGAACUGAGACACGGUCCAGACUCCUACGGGAGGCAGCAGUGGGGAAUUUUGGACAAUGGGGGCAACCCUGAUCCAGCCAUUCCGCGUGAGUGAAGAAGGCCUUCGGGUUGUAAAGCUCUUUCAGCAGGAACGAAACGGUACGCUCUAACAUAGUGUGCUAAUGACGGUACCUGCAGAAGAAGCACCGGCUAACUACGUGCCAGCAGCCGCGGUAAUACGUAGGGUGCGAGCGUUAAUCGGAAUUACUGGGCGUAAAGCGUGCGCAGGCGGACUGUUAAGCAAGAUGUGAAAUCCCCGGGCUUAACCUGGGAAUGGCAUUUUGAACUGGCAGUCUAGAGUGUGUCAGAGGGGGGUGGAAUUCCACGUGUAGCAGUGAAAUGCGUAGAGAUGUGGAGGAACACCAAUGGCGAAGGCAGCCCCCUGGGAUAACACUGACGCUCAUGUACGAAAGCGUGGGUAGCAAACAGGAUUAGAUACCCUGGUAGUCC
rnacentral:rRNA from 1 species